rnacentral:rRNA from 1 species
CUGUAUAGCCGUACCACCCUGAACAACCCGGUCCCAGCUGAGCUGACGCUAAGCAGGGUUAGGCCCGGUGAGUAGUUGCUGGGAGGCCUCCUUGGAAUACUGGCUGCCGUCGGC